CUUUUCACACACUGACACGAACUGUUUAUACCGCCACAUAAAUUGCCUAAUUCUUACUCCUUAGAAAAUGACUGACUGUAACCACCUUAAUACUCGUGACAACCAAAUUGACUAAUAAUAUCGAUUUUAUGGGUGAACCAUAAAUUUAUAAUAAAACAAAAAAUCUAUUUUCGUUCCAUAAAUACUAAAAACCCUCAGUCAUUAUGUCAGU